AUUGAACGCUGGCGGCGUGCUUAACACAUGCAAGUCGAACGAGAAAGUCCUAGCUUGCUAGGGCGAGUAAAGUGGCGCACGGGUGAGUAACGCGUGAAUAAUCUACCUUCGAAUCUGUGAACAACACACCGAAAGGUGUGCUAAUACCGGAUAAUAUCUUUUGCCCUUCGGUGUAGAAGAUCAAAGGCGGCCUCUUCUUGAAAGCCGUUGUUUGAGAUGAGUUCGCGUACCAUUAGCUAGUUGGUGGGGUAAAGGCCUACCAAGGCUACGAUGGUUAGCUGGUCUGAGAGGAUGACCAGUCACACUGGAACUGAGACACGGUCCAGACUCCUACGGGAGGCAGCAGUGAGGAAUCUUGCGCAAUGGGGGAAACCCUGACGCAGCAACGCCGCGUGAGUGAUGAAGGCUCUUGGGUCGUAAAGCUCUGUCAAUAGGGAAGAAAUCAUCUAUGGUUAAUACCUCGUGCCCCGACGGUACUAUUUGAGGAAGCACCGGCUAACUCCGUGCCAGCAGCCGCGGUAAUACGGAGGGUGCAAGCGUUGUUCGGAUUUAUUGGGCGUAAAGCGCGUGUAGGCGGUUUUUUAAGUCUGAUGUGAAAGCCCUGGGCUCAACCCCGGAAGGGCAUCUGAAACUACCCAACUUGAGUACGAGAGAGGAAAGUGGAAUUCCCAGUGUAGAGGUGAAAUUCGUAGAUAUUGGGAGGAACACCUGUGGCGAAGGCGACUUUCUGGAUCGAUACUGACGCUGAGACGCGAAAGCGUGGGGAGCAAACAGGAUUAGAUUCCCUGGUAGUCCACGCCGUAAACGAUGGGAACUAGGUAUAGUGGGUAUUGAUCCCUGCUGUGCCGAAGCUAACGCGUUAAGCACCCCGCCUGGGGACUACGGUCGCAAGACUAAAACUCAAAGGAAUUGACGGGGGCCCGCACAAGCGGUGGAGCAUGUGGUUUAAUUCGAGGCAACGCGAAGAACCUUACCGGCCCUUGACAUACCAAUCGCGGAUAGCAGAGAUGCUUUCCUUCAGUUCGGCUGGAUUGGAUACAGGUGCUGCAUGGUUGUCGUCAGCUCGUGUCGUGAGAUGUUGGGUUAAGUCCCGCAACGAGCGCAACCCUCGCCUUUAGUUGCCAGCAUUAAGUUGGGCACUCUAGAGGGACUGCCGGUGAUAAGCCGGAGGAAGGUGGGGAUGACGUCAAAUCAUCAUGGCCCUUACGGGCCGGGCUACACACGUGCUACAAUGGCGGUGACAGUGAGCAGCCACUCAGCGAUGAGGAGCUAAUCUCUAAAAGCCGUCUCAGUUCGGAUUGUUCUCUGCAACUCGAGAGCAUGAAGUUGGAAUCGCUAGUAAUCGUGGAUCAGCAUGCCACGGUGAAUACGUUCCCGGGCCUUGUACACACCGCCCGUCACACCAUGGAAGUUGGC
rnacentral:rRNA from 1 species